AAUUAAAUUUUAGGAAAAACUUUAAAUACCACCCCUAUAGUUUUGCACUUUCUCACUUGAGUACUCUGUGAUUUAAAGUGCAUCACUUUCGUACUCUGUGAUUUUUUUUUUUUUAUUAUUUGCUUAACUAUUUUUUUCGUUAAAUCAGUGAUAAAAUUAAAAUUAAAAUGUAUUAAAGUGAAUAUUCGAUAAACUAUAGAUAAGGUAUCUGAAAAUUUUUAUAUAUGAUUUAAUAAAAAGUUAACGAAAAGGCUGACGAAAAGUAAAAAAAUAAAACCAUAAAAUAUAAAAUUGAUACAUAUUAAACUAUAAAAUACUAAAAUAAAAAAAAAUGAAACUACAAAAUGGUAUUUGAAGUUUAUCCUAAAUUCUAUGAAGGAGUGAACAGAUGAUGCAUGCAUUUUGA
rnacentral:lncRNA from 1 species